AUUUGACUCCCUACUAUAAGCACGCGUACGACAUCUCCUUUAAAAAAUUGUGGUGACAUGUUUUGCUUCCACCAUUUAAUCUGCUACGUAUAAAUUCGGCCGACGGCAAUUGUCGGUCAUUUGGGAACCUCUUCUUUGAGCUAUGAGAGUUGUACUCUGCGUCCAACCCACUGUAAGUGUAACAAGGAUUACUGAACUGGAUGAACACUAAUUGCCCUAAAAUUGGCUUCUUGUUAAAAGUUGAUGAUGAUAUCUAUGUCAAUAUUUACAAUCUUGCAAAGAUUGUCGAAUCCUACCACAAAUCGGGCAAUUUCUCUAUUUUCGGACGCAGUCCUAAUUCGGGAUUUCCUUCUCACCAUUACAACAACUUUGGACCAGUAAGAGGUGUGGACUAAAAGAUUUAGAUGAAAUUAAUGGACUUGUAAGAUUACCAAAACCCUGUCAGUAUGAAAUGACAUUCGACGCUUGGCCACGGAAUUCGUAUCCUGAUUACAUAAGUGGACCAGUCUAUUUGAUACACGGAAGUUCAAUCCUCCCUUCAAUACCGACAGCAUGUAUGCUCCUCCGCCAUUUGAUGACGAAUGUGAUGCAUGCUGGAAAUACCUCGCAUGGGACGAUUGGCUAUCACCGCUGUCCCAUAAACAGAUCGACAACUUUUACCGGGGUUCAACCAACAAGUCAUGCGACAGGCCCAAUGCUUCCAUCAAGUUCAAUUUCAGAAGCAAUUAUUCUACUUUUCCUUGAACAAGUGUAACUGUGUAAGCGCAUAGACCUACAACUUACUGCUGAUGUAGUAAAGGUUUACCCGGUUUACCUCGCCUAUCCGACAAUAAGUGCCAAGAACCCAACAGAUUCCAUACGUGUAAAAAGAUAAUCUCUUUAGCUUCGACUUUACGAGGUUAUUGCCUUAAAACUUAGGUAAGAAUGUGUGUUUCUAAAUUUUUCCAUAGCAUAUAGAAUAACAAAGGUUAAUAAUGAAAUAAGGCACACCUCUUAUAAAUGGUCUGUAGCAAACUGUACUGUUCUGCCAAACAUCUCGCUUUAUUUGUUUGAUUUCACUUCAAAGGAGAAAACAAUUGUUCCAUUAUUACGAGAUGCACAUAGACUACAUAGUUCAUUAUUUGUUUUGU